rnacentral:tRNA from 1 species
GGAGAGAUGGCCAAGUGGUUUAAGGCGUAGCAUUGGAAUUGCUAUUAGGAUUUUGUUUACCGAGGGUUCGAAUCCCUCUCUUUCCG